GUCAUGUAUCCUACCUCAGUAAGGGGCUAACUGAUGAACAGAAGAGGUAGCCCUGGAUCCUACCUCAAUAAGGGCCUAACUGAUGAACGGAAGAGGUAGUCAUGUAUCCUACCUCAGUAAGGGGCUAACUGAUGAACAGAAGAGGUAGGCCUGGAUCCUACCUCAAUAAGGGGCUAACUGAUGAACGGAAGAGGUAGGCCUGGAUCCUACCUCAAUAAGGGGCUAACUGAUGAACAGAAGAGGUAGCCCUGGAUCCUACCUCAAUAAGGGGCUAACUGAUGAACAGAAGAGGUAGCCCUGGAUCCUACCUCAAUAAGGGGCUAACUGAUGAACAGAAGAGGUAGCCCUGGUUCCUACCUCAAUAAGGGGCUAACUGAUGAACGGAAGAGGUAGGCCUGGAUCCUACCUCAAUAAGGGGCUAACUGAUGAACAGAAGAGGUAGCCCUAGAUCCUACCUCAAUAAGGGGCUAACUGAUGAACAGAAGAGGUAGCCCUGGAUCCUACCUCAAUAAGGGGCUAGCUGAUGAACAGAAGAGGUAGGCCUGGAUCCUACCUCAAUAAGGGGCUAACUGAUGAACGGAAGAGGUAGUCAUGUAUCCUACCUCAAUAAGGGGCUAACUGAUGAACAGAAGAGGUAGUCAUGUAUCCUACCUCAAUAAGGGGCUAACUGAUGAACAGAAGAGGUAGUCAUGUAUCCUACCUCAAUAAGGGGCUAACUGAUGAACAGAAGAGGUAGUCAUGUAUCCUACCUCAGUAAGGGGCUAACUGAUGAACAGAAGAGGUAGUCAUGUAUCCUACCUCAGUAAGGGGCUAACUGAUGAACAGAAGAGGUAGUCAUGUAUCCUACCUCAAUAAGGGGCUAACUGAUGAACAGAAGAGGUAGUCAUGUAUCCUACCUCAAUAAGGGGCUAACUGAUGAACAGAAGAGGUAGUCAUGUAUCCUACCUCAGUAAGGGGCUAACUGAUGAACAGAAGAGGUAGUCAUGUAUCCUACCUCAGUAAGGGGCUAACUGAUGAACAGAAGAGGUAGUCAUGUAUCCUACCUCAAUAAGGGGCUAACUGAUGAACAGAAGAGGUAGUCAUGUAUCCUACCUCAAUAAGGGGCUAACUGAUGAACAGAAGAGGUAGUCAUGUAUCCUACCUCAAUAAGGGGCUAACUGAUGAACGGAAGAGGUAGUCAUGUAUCCUACCUCAAUAAGGGGCUAACUGAUGAACAGAAGAGGUAGUCAUGUAUCCUACCUCAAUAAGGGGCUAACUGAUGAACAGAAGAGGUAGUCAUGUAUCCUACCUCAAUAAGGGGCUAACUGAUGAACAGAAGAGGUAGUCAUGUAUCCUACCUCAGUAAGGGGCUAACUGAUGAACAGAAGAGGUAGUCAUGUAUCCUACCUCAGUAAGGGGCUAACUGAUGAACAGAAGAGGUAGUCAUGUAUCCUACCUCAAUAAGGGGCUAACUGAUGAACAGAAGAG